AGGAGCCCUUCAUCCGUCUGUCUUCCUGUCGGGAGUCCUCAGAUGGCUGCGGGAGGAGCAAGGAAGGGACCGGCGUGGCCUAAAUACUGACAUGCAGGUGGCCGGGGCCGGCGGAAACCUGCGAGAGGGUAAGAGACCCCAGCCUGGAUGACGGGUGCUCGUGUUUACUUCCCUAAGUGUUCUGUCUUGGAAGUUCUGGGGUGCGCCGGCUGAGGCGUUAAAGCGUGGAUGCCGGCACUCAGUUACGUGGACUCCAACCCCGGCUCGGCCGCCUAUUACCCACACUGGCCAACAUCCAUCUUUAAAAUGGGGCCAGCUGUGCUUGCCUCAGUGGAUUGUCACGCAGAUUAAGGUCCAUCACUCAGCAGAGGUGAAGCAUUCCUGGCAGAGCCUGGCACAGGGCUCCCGUCCAGGGCACCACAGUGCAUUUCAUCAUCACAUCUCCUCAGCCUCUUCCUGGCUGACAGUUGCUCAGUUUUCUUUGUUUUUCCCGACCUUCACAUUUGGCAGGGUACUGGCCAGGCAUCUGCAGAAAGGCCCCUUCAUUUGGGUUUGGCUGAUGUCUUUUCAUGGCCAGACUGUGGCUAUGGGUUUCGGAGGAAACCACGGAGGUGACGUUCCUUCUUGACGCAUCACGCCGGUGAGCACAUGCUGUCCACAGGACCUGUCCCUGAUGGUGCUGACCUGGAUCACCUGGCCAGGGUAUUGUUUGCCAGGUUUCUCCACCACCAAGAGACCCUCCCCUUCCACACCCCACUCUCUCGAAGCGAGUGGCCAUGUGCAGUCCAUACCCCCAGAGGGGAGAGUUUAAGCUCCUCCUGGAGAAGGGGGUAUCCAUGUAUUACCUGAAGUUUUCCUCUAGGAAGACUUAUCUCUUCUCCCCCAUUUACUUAUUUAUUUAGGCAUUUAUUUACACAAGUGUGGCCUUGUAGAUAUUUUUUAGACUUUGGCCUAUAAUCCAAUACUGUGUUACUUAUUUUGUUGCUCAGAUCCUCCCUUCAUUUUCAUCAGUGAAGAAGCCCUGGUCUGGGGGUAGGGGAUGGUCUGUGGCUCAGGGGGCUGCAGCAAGGAGAUGGGUCGUGGGUUACAGGCCCAGCUCGGGACCUUUGGUUUGGGUUCUCACAAUGACGGCCACAGCAGGUGGGAAGAAGAAGGAACAGAGGCUGUCUGAUUGGCGGCAAGGCCACUGCCCAUGCUGGGCUUGGGGUGGAACUCCAAUGGUAAGGAUGUAAACAAGGGGAUCUAGACGUGUGAUUUGCAGGCACAUUUCAUCCGUAAAAUUCUGGAAAAACUAAGGCCUUGAUGUGGUUGAGAAAGUGAUGCCGUGGAGACCCACGACUUUCUUAAGGGUCGUAGAACAACGCUGCAGACUUUGUGCGAUUGUGGGGGAGGGUGACACAGGCAUGUUGAAAUCCCCAGUGUGGAGGAUGGAGAAUAAA